CCCAAGUGAAACAUCUAGCUUAAAAGAAGGGAAAGUGAAAAACAAAAACAGCGAAUUGAACACUUGGAAGUAUUGGAAUAAAUACUUAAAAUUCAAAAGCAAAAAUAAUCUAUAAAGUUUAACAAUUAAAACCCAUAAAAAAGUGAGUCGAAAAAUUCCAACGCAUUGGCGGCAUAAUUAUCACAUUCAAAAAGUGCAACGCCAGCUAUUUGGGCAAUGGGCAGCAGGCCCCCUGCCCUCUGCACCGAGCGCGUAAUUUGAUUCCGUUGAUAGGCGUUCGGGCGUAUGAGUCAGAUGCGUUGUCGUCGUAUGAAAAGCCAAAAAACAUAGACAGACACACACACACGUUGUACGUCAUACGCCAUACACCACACAACUGCACAUAGGUACACACACACACAUAUACAGAAUCAUAUAUGUAUGUACAUGUAGAAUCAGCCUUGGCUUGCGGGAUACUUAAACUGUAAUACGCUUGCAUACUCUCGGUACGGAUACGGUCGUGGGCGAAUCAAAGCAAAGGCCAGGCAGAGCCCGGGCCAAGGGGGAAAGUAUAACGCCAGGAAGGGAAGCGUUCAUUCAGUUGCAGAGCCUCGACGAAAGCUGAGCCUAGACCAGACCAGACCAGACCCCUUUUCGCCGUGAAUAACCAAAAACUUUAACUGGCGAAAAGAAAAGCGAACCUCAGCCGCCAAAAGUUCAGCAAAAAGCUUUCACCUGUUAUAAAUGUGAAAAUAGCCCCCAAUUGGCUAAUGAAGUUCCAUUAAUGCAAUAUUCAAAUGUAAAGCUCUGGCGUAACAAACAACACGUGGAUUCGGACAAAAUCGCUUGGCCCAAAAAUGCAUCUCGCAAUAAAUCAAUCAAUGAACAUUUUAAAAUCAAGGGAAUAACAUUCAAUUUUAAAAUAAACAAAAAAAACAUGUGCAGCAAACGAAUAAAUUAGGAAAAGGAAAAUUAAAAAUUCUACCAAUUUAAAACAUUUUUCACAGUGGGUGCUCGUCCCAAUGCAAAAAAAUAUAUAUAUGUGUGUACCUACAUUUAUAUACGGGAUAUAAAAAGCAAAGCAACAAGUAUUUAUGAAAAAAGUUUAAAUAAAUAGAAAUUCAAAUAAUAUAAUAUCAAGGAAUAAUUAAUGGCGCUUACCCAAAAAAUUCAAAUAAGUAGACAUUAAAGAAAAAUGUAAGAAAAAGCCAAAAAAUAUCUAAAAAACAAGUUUCAAUACUUAAAAAUCAUUGGGAAAAGUUCAAAAACUGUCCAACGAUGCCAUCGUCGGCAAAAAAGACCACCUCGAUAUAUGUGAAGACCUUUAAGCACACCAAAAAAUCAAAACUCAACAACAUAUUUGAUCCAAAACUUAAUAAUCAUUUCAAAUGGAAGCUAUACAAAUUGCUGAUUAAAAAACUAAAAAAGUGAGUAAUAUUUUAGGAAGCUAGAAGCUUUCCCAAGCAGCACCAAAUUGCACCUCCCACAUACACCCAUCAACAAAUUGUGAAGUAAAGUGAACAUCAGCUCCUGAAACCACAAUUCGAAAUUACAGACGACAGCAGCAGAAACCGAAAAGGAGGGCGGAGGGGGGCCCUCCCACAUGCUGCAACAUUGCCGAGCAUGGGAUGGCCCCCAGCGCUGGGUCUGCGAGGGAUUUGUAACCAUAGUUACCGCAAGUACACAAUGCACCCGCCUCAAAAAAGAUACAAUGUUAUUCCUUCCCGCUCCAUUCAUUCAAAUCAAAUUAAUCUACCUUAGUGUGUGUCUAUUUAGGAUUCUAUGGAAGUUAUCUUUAUAUGUGCGAGGUAAUGCUAGUAUUACAAGUUUCAGUCUCAUAUCAAAUGCAUUUCGGCUAGGCAUAGGUCAUAUAUACAUACAUACUUAUGGUACUAUAUAUAUUUAAUUGCGUUUUGCAAAAGCUCCGCUGAAUGUUGAUAUCCGAUGUUGUUUAUCCGAUUACCACUAUUAUAUUUGCAAAUAUGUACAUAUAUUUGUGGUUAUGCUACUAGCCAACAGGUGUGCACAUUUAGCACAUAUGUAUAUUAUUUAUGCCGUAAUUAAGUAACUUAAUACCUUCUUCCCUUCAAUAUUGAUUUUGCUUAAAGUCUUUGCACUGCUGUUUGUAUUCGAGUAUACCCAAGCAUUUAAGCCAUUAAUUAUAUAAACAUAAACGCCAAAGCUUAUGGCUUAUGCUAUUAUAUUAAGGACAUAUUUAUGCAUGUUUUUUCUACCUUUGCUUAUCUACCUUAAAUACUAUAUAUUCAUAUUAUUUGGUAAUUUAUUUAAAUCUUAUUCCCUCGCUUUAAAAAACUUCUAGUAAAUAUCUAUAUAUCUACACCUUCAAUUUUUUUGUAAAAUAAUUAUCUCUUAUAAGUAUUUUAUGCUUAUUUGAAAUAUUUCAUCUACGAGUACCUAAACUAGUCCUUGCUAGAGAUUUUCUCAAAAUUUUGUACAUACCGACACAUAAGGGUGCAUUUUACGCUUAAUAUAGUAUACGACAGCCUCUCAUAUUACACAUACGUAUUACACAUUACUCAUAAGCAUGUUUCUCUAUAUGUAAAUAACAUUUCGCAUGUUCGAUUUAAGAGCCAAUAAGUAUGAUGAAUUAAUUUAGUUUGGUUUAAAAAAUUAAGUCUUUCCGAAAAUCAACUAUUCAGCGAGGAUAAUAUCACAGAAUUAUCACAAAAUCAUCACAGAAUUAUCAUUGAAUUUCCUCUAAAUAAAAAUCUUUCUAUAAUUCCAUUAUCCUGCACAGAUAAUAUCAAAUAAUAUUAUUUGGCAAACGUGGAGGUUUUCUUUUUUAGCUUGAUUGCGAGGAUUUACGGAAUGCAAAGUACGAUGCCUUUAGUGGCACUUCAGUUUUAAUUAGGACUAGCCCUGCGAGUGUUGAUUGGAUGGGAUGAUUCGAGUAUCACUCAAGGAGGAUAAUUCCUAAAAUUAAAGACACAUUCCAUGCCAUGAACUUAAAGUAAAGCAUAUUCAUCUCAAGCGGGAUUAUGUGAGAUUAAUCACUCAAUUCAAUUUUGUUUAUUACAAAAACUUAAAUAUUCAAUUCUUUGACAAAUUUUGCUGACAAUUUGAUCCCUUAUAUACAUACAUACAUGGAGGGCAUUUCUGAUAAAUUGAUGAAUAGGCCGAAAAUGAGUUCUUCAUUUUAGUUCAAAAUCAAACGAUCGUGGUGUAUUUGUGCGAAAUGAGAGUCCAAAAAUAGUGCUGGAUUCUCAUGCUCCUCGAUAAGGUCAAAUGUCCCCAACAUGGCGAUGGCCACAUAAGCGAGUUCCGUAUAACCACCCCCCACCAUCCGCCUAUAAACGGAGAUUAUUUCCUCCUUUAUGUGAUGUAUUAUGCGAUCCACCAGGAAGUGGGAAGCGCCUGUGUACAUAAUGCGUAAUGCGGCAAGGGCUAGUGCGAGAGCCAUUUUCGAGAGCAGAGCUUGAGCUGACUUUUUGUCUGUGGUUUCUCCGUGUUUUGAUUUAUUUUUGAUACUUGCUUCAAGUAGUCGCUUGAGUACCAGAAAGUUGUGUGUACAUUCCCAAAAAAUGAUUCCGAAUAAUGUUGCGAGCUGCUCAAAUGGUUUGACAAUGAAUGCCCAGAUCUUACUUUAAAUAUUGCACGAUUUCUAUCUAUUUUAUUUGGGAGCAUAUGUAGGUCUUGGGGCAGUUGGAUUUUGAGGGACAAUGACAGAUAGUGUUGGGGUUUGAGAUGGAGAGUAGAAUGGCACCUUUCAGCUAAAGUAAAGGCUUUCGUUCGACGGCUGCCAUUUUUCUCCCGUCUCUGACUUCAACGCCUAUCUCUGUCAGUGUUCUCCAGUCUCCAACUGCCUGCAGGACUUGUGGAUCUGUUCGACAAAUUUUUCCCUCUUUUUUACUGGCAUCAAAUAAAUUUUCACUGAUCGAAAAUGGGGCUCAACAAUUUUUAGUUCAGAGGUAAGCGAGCCUUUUUCCAUACAACUCGAAUAUGCUAAACUUUGUUUUAAAGCACUUUGCAGUUCUGAAAAGCUUGUAAAUGCAACUAUCAAUCGGUUUAAAAAACUUUAUGGCUCCAGCUUACCGUCUGGGAAAUAUUCAGAUUUCAAAUGCAGACAGCAUGUUUUAGCUAUAAGGUUUUUGAAGCCCAUCGAUAGCUGCAUUUGUUUGCCUUUCAGAACUGCAAGGUCCUUCACAACAAAGUAUAGCAUACUAGAGUUGUAUGGAAAAAGGUAAGCUUAACUCUGAUGGUAAUUCUUGAAAGAAACUCCUUAACUAUAUACAAAAAAUGCUUCAAACUUCACGUAUUCAUUGGUUUUUGGUUGGAGCAUGAGUCAUGUAGCCGUCUAGAUUCUGAUGAACAUUCACAGUUAGUAUUGGAGUUAGAGAUGGAGAGAAGAAUCCCAGCACGUAGCCAAAGAAAUUGCUUUCGUUAUCGACUGGUAUUUUACUCUUCGCAUCUAACCCCAACACUGCCUGUCACUGUUCCUCUGUAUCUAGGCGUCUCCAGGACUGAUGCUCCAAUCAAAUAUGUACAUUAGGGUUCCGUUUAUUUAUAAAAUUUUAAUUUUCAAAGGUCUCAGCGUCUAAAAAUGUUCCUUUUGUUAUAAAACAAUACAAUAUAAAGUUUCAGUCUGAUUCGACAUCGUUUAGAGGUGGCGACUUAAGAUCAAAGUUCAAAAAUACGAUAUUUGACCAAUGGUUCCUAUGGAAGCUAUACUAUAUAUUGCUCUGAUCGGAUUAAAUUUUUUUUGUGACUUAGAACAAUAAAAUAUAGUCCAGCCCCCAAAAUUUCAGCCCGAUUGGUAAACAUUUAAGCCAACAAUAACAAUAACAUUUUGUAUUAUAUUAACGCAUUUUAAUUAUUCAAUGGAUGUUGACAAUCAUAUUCUUUUGCGACCUUUAGAAACUUCUAAAACUCAUCUUCUUUUUUGGUUAGUAUUUGGUUUUAGUCUUGCAUAACAUGUUUAACAGAAAGUUCGAUUGUAUUAUUAACCACUUUUAAAUUUUUUAACAUUUUUAAAGCAUUUUUAAAGCAUUUUUAAAGCAUUUUUAAAAUCCUCAUGUCUAUGCCAUUCUGAAGGGUUGUCAGUUAACAAAUCUUUGGCAAUAUAAAGGUGAUCAAAAAACUUAGAAAAAUUAUAUAUAUUUAAGGUAUAAAUCGCCUUAGACAUCCAGCGAGUAUGGUGCAUUGAUCCAAGAAGUCGGAAACGAUGACCUUUCCGAACCGAUCCCAAAAAAAUUAGAGUUAGCUCCAGCAAUAUAAAAGGUUUCGGUCUAAUAGUUGCUCUAGACGGAAUGCAGCGCCAUUAAGUCAUCCAGAAUUGGAUGCAGUUGUUUCAAAACAGGCUGCUUUGAUUUUACAAACUAUUCCCCAUUCGGUCAACAAACUAAAAGUUGCGUGUGGAAUUUUCACUCUUGUAGAUGCACUUAUUUUUGGCACUCCUAGAAGUUUGUCGCCCUCCAUAUGUGAAAUAAUGAUUGACAAUCGUUCGACUUUGCAGUGCCCAGUCAGUUCAGGAAGCAUUUUAGCAUCCCAAUGGUACGUAAAAAAAUGUAUAAAAUAUGCUAAUAAUCUUACUGCCGGCAUUAAAUGAAACGAUUCAAUUAGCAUCAUCGACAUGGCAUCUGCCUGUGCAAUAUUGGACAAAUACACUGCACGUGUAAUUUGCACAUCAGUAUGAGAAGUUAAAUGUUAACUAUUUUUAUUGGGUUAAAUGUUAACCUUUCGGGCUGAAAUUUUGGGGCCUGGAUUAUAUUUUUAUGUUCCAAGUCACAAACAAAAUUUAAUCCGAUCAGAGCAAAAUAAGGUAUAGCUGCCAUAGGAUCCAUUGGCCAAAUAUCGAAUUUUUGAACUUUGAUCUUAAGUCGCCACCAUUAAACGUUGUCGAAUCAGACUGAAACUUUUUAUUUUAUUGUUUUAUAACAAAAGGAACAUUUUUAGACCCUGAGACUUUUGAUUCCGACACAUUUUUUUUCGCCCAUACAAAUAAGCGCAAGCCUAAUGUACAUACAUAUAUGGGUAACGAUCCAAUCUGAUCGAUUUGCGUUUUCAGCCAAAACGUUUCGGUUUCGUUUUUAGGUUUUUACAAAUUUUUGUCGAAUGUGCUCAUGUACUGUUAGGCGCACAAUUUAGUGCUGUUAAGCGCACAAUUUGGCGAUUUUGACGCACAAAAUCCUCUGCUAUGAUGUCAGUUGAUAGCGUCAGCUGUUAGCACGAAAACGCAAAGUGCUGUUGCCAUGACACAGGACCAAAUUGGAGGUUGGUUAAAAAAAAUGAUUUAUAAAGAAGGCACAAGUAAAAAAGCCGAUUCCGUAUGAAAACGGGAAAAACUUACGUUUUUGUGAAAACGGGAUCGACAAUUGGCUCGUUUUCAAAAGUAAGUCGGAAAUUUUUGGCGAAAGUGAAAGCCGGACACUGCCUGAUUGCAUAUUGAUUGAUUGAGACUUAAGUCAUGGGAACAGAUUCUGGGCAGCACUGGCAGAUAUUGUUUGAGUUUGAGGUGGAAAGCAGGGCUCCACCAUUCGACAAAAGCGUGAACGCUUUCGUUGUUUGAUGGAACUUUACUUUCCUCUUUUGACUUGAACACUAACUGUGCGUGUUGUUCAGAAUCUUGACUCCUUUAAGGAUUUGUGCUCUCAAUCAGUAUACGUAUUGGCAUUGAUGUUGGUAUUGAUGUUGGUAUUGGUUGGAGCAUAAGUCAAUGGGGGUAUUAGAGCCCGAUAAGCAAUCGUAGUCAAUGAUGGAUGUAGGUGUAGAGAGAAAGGGCGCACCAGGCAACAAAAGAGAUUGCCUUUCGUUGUCUGCUGGAACUUUACUCUCUGCCUCUAUUUUCAUGACUGACUAUGAGUGUUUCUCAGACUCCAACAGUCCUGCGGCUUAUUCUCCCACCAAUACCCGGCUUUUGAUCGUGCUCUGGUAUACAUACAUUGGAUGGUUUUCAAAACCACAGACAGACUUCCUCCGAGUAUGGGCUAUGGGUUUAGUAACUAUAUAUCGUACAAUCCUUUCUUAAUUCAUAUAGCAUCUGGGCUUCAAUAUUCUACGCUCUUCUUUUUCGUAGAACUUUGUUUGUUUCCUAAGAAGUUAGUCGGCCAUCAAGUACUACGAAAAAAAAUUACAGGAGAAGAGCGUAAAGCAUUGAAGUUCAGAUGGGGACCAAAUUGAAGGAAAACCUAUACGUUUUGCUUAAUCUUAUCUUAAAUUAUAGAGGUUUAUUAUAUUAUAUUAUUUUUACCUAUUCUAUACUCUAUUAUCUCCUUGCACUCUUGGAUAAAAUGUUUUUUUUGGUGUAGAAUGGCAACUAGGCGCAGCUUGGUGUUUAUAUUUUAUAUAAAGUAUAUACAUAUUGUAAAUUCAACUUACAAAUGCAUCUAGAAUGAGCUCACAACAGAGGCAAUUUUCAAGCUCAAUAGCUAUAUUAAGUUAAGAUUUACUCUUCGAACAAACCGCAUUGGAAGGACAUGAGUUGACUUUGCUCUCAAAGAACCAAGUGUCAUUAUGAAGAAUUUUACAUGAACCGGCGCAAGAGAUUGUCCGAAAUUAAUCAUUUUUGUUAAGUUGGGAUAGCGUAUACCAUCCUGGAUAAAUGUCGCUUCCCAUCGAGUACCCACAUUACUUGCUCAAACCAUUAACAGGGGAAGGACACCUUAUAGUUACAAAAUGCAUAUAUUUCAUUUAAUACAAGGUGAAGGGUAAUGAUAGAUAAGUUGGCGAUCGGUGUGGCUAUAAAUCCCCUGCGACUACAGAAGAAUGAUACAACAAAAUAAUGCUCUUGUGAGAGGCAGUUCUCCUUGGCAGACAUACAUAUAUAGCUCUUAAUUCGUGGCUCUGAAUAUUAUUAAAUCGUUCUUUUCGGACCCGACUCGACCCCUGUAAAAUGUAUAUGUAUUUAGACUGUAGUAAAAUGUGAAAUACACCUGAUGUCAAGUAAACAGUAGGGACCAGUACCAUAACUACAUAUGUAUGUAUUUGUAGAGAAUACCGGUAUGUCCGAAGUCAUUUAAGAUCAAUAUUUAUAUAACCUAUAACCUUAUAGCCAUACGAUAAGUACCUUAAUAUGUAAAUUUGAUUGUGAAUAUAAGAUUAAAGGUGAAAAGAAAAGGCUAUACAUACAAAACAGU